UUUUUAUGGAGAGUUUGAUCCUGGCUCAGGAUGAACGCUGGCGGCGUGCCUAAUACAUGCAAGUCGAGCGAACAGACGAGGAGCUUGCUCCUCUGA
rnacentral:rRNA from 1 species